rnacentral:rRNA from 1 species
AGAGUUUGAUCCUGGCUCAGGACGAACGCUGGCGGCGUGCUUAACACAUGCAAGUCGAACGGAAAGGCCCUGCUUGCAGGGUACUCGAGUGGCGAACGGGUGAGUAACACGUGGGUGAUCUGCCCUGCACUUCGGGAUAAGCCUGGGAAACUGGGUCUAAUACCGGAUAGGAGCCAUUUUUAGUGUGAUGGUUGGAAAGUUUUUUCGGUGUAGGAUGAGCUCGCGGCCUAUCAGCUUGUUGGUGGGGUAAUGGCCUACCAAGGCGGCGACGGGUAGCCGGCCUGAGAGGGUGGACGGCCACAUUGGGACUGAGAUACGGCCCAGACUCCUACGGGAGGCAGCAGUGGGGAAUAUUGCACAAUGGGCGCAAGCCUGAUGCAGCGACGCCGCGUGGGGGAUGACGGCCUUCGGGUUGUAAACUCCUUUCGCUAGGGACGAAGCUUUUUGUGACGGUACCUAGAUAAGAAGCACCGGCUAACUACGUGCCAGCAGCCGCGGUAAUACGUAGGGUGCGAGCGUUGUCCGGAAUUACUGGGCGUAAAGGGCUCGUAGGUGGUUUGUCGCGUCGUCUGUGAAAUUCCGGGGCAUAACUCCGGGCGUGCAGGCGAUACGGGCAUAACUUGAGUACUGUAGGGGUAACUGGAAUUCCUGGUGUAGCGGUGAAAUGCGCA